UACAGAGGUCCCGAGCGUUGUUCGGAUUCACUGGGCGUAAAGGGUGCGUAGGCGGACAGUUUAGUCAGAGGUGAAAGCCCAGGGCUCAACCUUGGAAUUGCCUUUGAUACUGGCUGUCUUGAGUUCGGGAGAGGUGAGUGGAAUGCCGAGUGUAGAGGUGAAAUUCGUAGAUAUUCGGCGGAACACCAGUGGCGAAGGCGACUCACUGGCCCGAUACUGACGCUGAGGCGCGAAAGCGUGGGGAGCAAACAGG
rnacentral:rRNA from 1 species